GACGGAGGGGGCUAGCGUUGUUCGGAAUUACUGGGCGUAAAGGGCGCGUAGGUGGUUAUCUAAGUUAGGUGUUAAAGACCCGGGCUUAACCUGGGGAGUGCACUUAAUACUGGAUGACUUGAGUAUGGAAGAGGAAAGUGGAAUUCCUAGUGUAGAGGUAAAAUUCGUAGAUAUUAGGAGGAACACCAGUGGCGAAGGCGACUUUCUGGUCCAUAACUGACACUGAGGCGCGAAAGCGUGGGUAGCAAACAGG
rnacentral:rRNA from 1 species